UAUAAAUUACAAUUAUUAACUUUAAGUUAACAAACAUAUUGAAAUACAAAAAGUAAAUAAAUUAUAUAUUUUUUUUAAGCAAGUAUCAUUACAAUAGUUUUUUCUUGUAAGUAUUAAACUUGGACUAUUUAAAACUAAAAGAUUUUUUUAAUGCACAUAUAAAUGGGUUGUAAAUUUUUUAUUACACAUGCAUUUUACCAAUUGUCUUAAAUUCAAAAUACAAAAAAAUAAUCGUUUUCAGUCAUAUAUUUGUACAAAUGUAUUCCUAAACAAAAAGAUUAUAUAAUAAUAUUUUUUCAAAUUUUUUAUAGCCAAAAACUUCAAAAGAUACAACCGUCCCGUAAUUCAGAUAGUUUGACAAAAAUACAGUGAAAACAAUGUAGUUUACAGAAGGUGAAUUUCCCGUUUUAGAUUAGUCCAAAACUGAGCGUCGCGUGCUAAAAAAACAGCUAGGAAUGAGAAAGUAAUAGACAUAAACAUAGAUACAAUUUAAAACCAAAACUAUAAAUCCGAUGGAGAAUGUAUUAUAAAUGUAUCAUAAAUAAAUUUAAAAAUAUAAAUUUUUUUACUUUAAACGUUUGAAAAUUAUUUUAUAUUUAAAUAAUGUCUCAGUUUAAAAUUAUAUAAAUAAAAAUAAGAGCAUUUAUAUAAAAAAAUCACUCAAAUAUGAUGUUAAUUUAGUUACAAGUUAGGUAUUAAGAGUAGAGAAAAAAGAAGACGGUUAUGGCCUAGAUGUUGGAAUAUAGAACUCAUAAUAUCUCAGAUACUUUAUAUUAAAUUAUAGAGAAAACUGUCCAAAUUAGUUCUUUACCCAGACGCACAUGCAUUUAAUGGAUGUCCAAUUUUGACUUUUAUUUUAUUCAAAUGUUCAUAGAUGUAAUACAAAUGAUUUAAAAAUAUACAUUAUUGGACGUUCAAAAUAUAUUCAUACUUAAAUAUUUUAAAAAUUAUUUUACGUAUGAUUGAAAAUUCUCAUCCAAAAUAAUUCUUAUAUAAAAUAAUUAUCAAUCUUUUUUAUAUGUAAUAGAAAAAUAAUAAAAUCAAAUCUGAAUGGAUCCAAAAAUAGUGAUCAAAAAAUAAUAGUUAAAUUAUAUCAAUUGUUUUUCGAUUUAUAUUUAUAUUUAUACUUUGUAUGAAUGCUUAUUUCAGUGCAAAAAUUGUAGAUGCAUGCAAUGCGGUUUUCAAAAACGCUUUGUUUUAUGUGCGUUGAGUAUAACUUUACAACAGUAAAGGGCCUGUGUGAAGCCAGUAAAGGUCCAUCUACAAUAAGGAGUUUUAGGACGUAACAGUAGGCUGUAAGGAACUUACUUCCAGUUUAGAAAGUCGUAGCAGUAGCCGUAAGCGAAAUGAAUUAUUUUCAUUUCGCUACUGUUUACGGCCUACGGCAUGCGUCGUGUCUUGCAGGAGAAAAGGCAAAAGGCACAGUCAAAAUAAAAGGCACAGUCUAUUUUUUUAUAUCCAUAUUAUUUACACUUUCAUCACGAAAACCGAUUAAAUUAGGCUCAUUCGACGCGUUUUUGCGCAUGCUUAAAGUGCGCGAAUUAUCUUAUUGCUGCCAGUAUUAUUGCAUUAUUGUGGAUAGAUAAAGUUGUAGAAAUUAUGCUACUGCAUAUGUCCUACUAUUUUACUGCCUACUGCCAGUCCUAUUAUAGACGACAUAGGUAUUUAUGAGACACAUCUUAAGACGUUUUUAAGACGUCUUUAAGAUGUGUCUCAUAAAUACCUAUGUUUGGGUAAGUGCUAAAAUCAUAAGAAGAAAGACGUUCUAUUUGUAAAAAUAAUCUAAAAAUUAUAAAUAAGAAAAAUAUGUAUUAAAAUAUAUAACAGAUAAUUGCCAAACUUUCUUGUACUUGUAAUGUGUCAUAUUGUUUUUCAUUACAGCAUAUUAUGAAUACUAAGAAUCAUAUUCAGAACACUUUAUUAAUAAAUAUGGAUAUUUAUUCCUAAAAUUCUAUAAUAUAAAUAACAUAAGUUAUAUGCUAAUACGUGUAUUUAUAUAUAUCAGGAAAAGCGCAUUUUUAAAUUAAGAUUAUCUAAAUUCCUCAUUUUCAUUGCACAUUCUUGUAGUUAACAUUGAAAUCUCAAGCAAAGAUGACACACGCACACGCACACACGCGUAAAAAACCUUUGCAAAAAUUUAAAUUAAAUUAAAAAUUCAGUAUCCAUCUUAAUUUUGAAUACAAUUUUAUCUAUUUACCCGUGAUUAUUUACUUUAAUUUUAAUAUUCUUACGUUAAUUAAAAAGUCUGCUAAAUGUUUAAUUUGAUUAAAAUUGUAAUCUGACAGUGAAAAUGUUAUCUUAUUAAGGAAUAUGAUUAGUUUCACUAUAUACCCGUUUAUGAGAAAAAGAGAGAAAGAGAGAGAGAGAGAGAGAGAGAGAGAGAGAGAGAGAGAGAGAGAGAGAGAACGCUUAGAAUUUAAAAACUUUUUGUAAAAAUAUUUAAAUUGAAUUAAAAUAUCUAACAAAGAUAAUUAUAAAUACAAUGUUAUCUACUUAAUUAUUACGUAAUGAUUUUACUCUUAUAAGUAUUUUCAAAAUAAAUGUAACAUCAUUGUUUAAUAUUCGUUUUAUAACUUGUUUUAUUUUGUAAAAAAAUACAGACUGAUUAUGUUAUUCAAACCUUUUAAUUACACAAGUUAAAAUGUAUAAAAUUAAUUUAAUCUUCCUGAAUAAAAUUCUCCGGAAUUUCUUUUAAUCGUGUCUCACAUCUUCCAGAAUAAGGGUACAUUUUGAUAAUUGUUUUUCUAAAACAUAAACUAUUCAUAGAAUUAGUACUUUUUAAUUUUAUUAAGUGUGUGUGUGUGUGUGUGUGUGUGUGUGUGUGUGUGUGUGUGUGUGUGUGUGUGUGUGUGUGUGUGUGUGUGUAAUAAAAUGUGGUGAUUGUGAGAGUGGAAUUUAAUGUCUGCUCUGUGUACUAUCCAGAUUCAAGUCGACUCAGAACAUAUCAGAUUUUUAAUUGAUUAAUACUUCUCAAAAAGCAAUAAUAAAUCACUCAGAGACCUUUGCCAAGACAAUCACAUGAAGCAUACAUGAAUAUGCGUCAAAUGAAGAUGUUAUUCAGUCAUAAAAGACCAACUUAAAAAAGGUAUGAUAAAAUAUAUUUUGAUGUUCUUAUUUUUUAUCUUUUUUAUCAACAUAUAUAUUUGCAUAAAUAUUUAGAUUGUUAAGACUAAUUUAGUUAUGAAAUACUCCAUAAAUAUUUUUUUUGUACUUAAACAUCUCUUAAUUCAUUCCUGUAAUAUAAUGAAAAUAUUUUAAAUGUUCCUAAAAUAUUUAAAUUGAUUUCAUCUUCUUAUCCUAUAUAAAUUCAUAUCAUGUUCUCCAAUAUGUUUCCAAAAUAUUCUAAUAUUUUUUACAAAUAUUUAUAGAAUAUUCAUAAAAAGUGUUUGUGUUAUCUUUAUAUAUAAAUAUACAUACGUGCGCAUGUAUUAAAUAAUUAUGAGUUACAAAUAUACGAUAUUAGCACGCUCCGCGUAAGUAUGUGUGAAUAUGUGGGUGUGUUUACAUAUUAAAGUUAUGAAAAUGUACCAUGCGACACAAUCACAUAUACACAUGAUAGUGAAGAGCGGGGCUCAUUAACAUAAUUUCAAUAUUUGAUAUUUUUAAGCAUCAUUUUUUAUUAUAAUUAUUGUAAUUAUAUUAAACUAUGUAUCAGAAGAAAUUUUUCCCUAUAUUUACGUAUCGGAAACGAUUUUGUAUGAUAUAAUUUCUUUGUAAUAAAUAGAAUACAAACGCUACAUGGCUAGCCUUGAACUAACUAGCCUCGAUAGCAAAUUAAUAUAAGUUAUGACGUAAGUUUUGCCUAUAUAUAUGAUAAAUUCAUAUUAAAUUAUAAAAAA